rnacentral:rRNA from 1 species
UAGGGAAUCUUCGGCAAUGGACGAAAGUCUGACCGAGCAACGCCGCGUGAGUGAAGAAGGUUUUCGGAUCGUUAAAACUCUGUUAGGUAGAGAAGAACGUUGGUGAGAGUGGAAAGCUCAUCAAGUGACGGUAACUACCCAGAAAGGGACGGCUAACUACGUGCUAG